rnacentral:rRNA from 1 species
UACGGGGGGGGCAAGCGUUGUUCGGAAUUACUGGGCGUAAAGGGCUCGUAGGCGGCCAACUAAGUCCGACGUGAAAUCCCCAGGCUUAACCUGGGAACUGCGUCGGAUACUGGAUGGCUUGAAUCCGGGAGAGGGAUGCGGAAUUCCAGGUGUAGCGGUGAAAUGCGUAGAUAUUGGGAAGAACACCAGUGGCGAAGGCGGGUCUCUGGGCAACAACUGACGCUGAGGAGCGAAAGCGUGGGGAGCGAACAGG